UGUGAGCUCGAUGAGUAGGGCGGGACACGUGGUAUCCUGUCUGAAUAUGGGGGGACCAUCCUCCAAGGCUAAAUACUCCUGACUGACCGAUAGUGAACCAGUACCGUGAGGGAAAGGCGAAAAGAACCCCGGCGAGGGGAGUGAAAAAGAACCUGAAACCGUGUACGUACAAGCAGUGGGAGCCUCUUUAUGGGGUGACUGCGUACCUUUUGUAUAAUGGGUCAGCGACUUAUAUUCUGUAGCAAGGUUAACCGAAUAGGGGAGCCGAAGGGAAACCGAGUCUUAACUGGGCGUUAAGUUGCAGGGUAUAGACCCGAAACCCGGUGAUCUAGCCAUGGGCAGGUUGAAGGUUGGGUAACACUAACUGGAGGACCGAACCGACUAAUGUUGAAAAAUUAGCGGAUGACUUGUGGCUGGGGGUGAAAGGCCAAUCAAACCGGGAGAUAGCUGGUUCUCCCCGAAAGCUAUUUAGGUAGCGCCUCGUGAACUCAUCUCCGGGGGUAGAGCACUGUUUCGGCAAGGGGGUCAUCCCGACUUACCAACCCGAUGCAAACUGCGAAUACCGGAGAAUGUUAUCACGGGAGACACACGGCGGGUGCUAACGUCCGUCGUGAAGAGGGAAACAACCCAGACCGCCAGCUAAGGUCCCAAAGUCAUGGUUAAGUGGGAAACGAUGUGGGAAGGCCCAGACAGCCAGGAUGUUGGCUUAGAAGCAGCCAUCAUUUAAAGAAAGCGUAAUAGCUCACUGGUCGAGUCGGCCUGCGCGGAAGAUGUAACGGGGCUAAACCAUGCACCGAAGCUGCGGCAGCGACGCUUAUGCGUUGUUGGGUAGGGGAGCGUUCUGUAAGCCUGUGAAGGUGUGCUGUGAGGCAUGCUGGAGGUAUCAGAAGUGCGAAUGCUGACAUAAGUAACGAUAAAGCGGGUGAAAAGCCCGCUCGCCGGAAGACCAAGGGUUCCUGUCCAACGUUAAUCGGGGCAGGGUGAGUCGACCCCUAAGGCGAGGCCGAAAGGCGUAGUCGAUGGGAAACAGGUUAAUAUUCCUGUACUUGGUGUUACUGCGAAGGGGGGACGGAGAAGGCUAUGUUGGCCGGGCGACGGUUGUCCCGGUUUAAGCGUGUAGGCUGGUUUUCCAGGUAAAUCCGGAAAAUCAAGGCUGAGGCGUGAUGACGAGGCACUACGGUGCUGAAGCAACAAAUGCCCUGCUUCCAGGAAAAGCCUCUAAGCAUCAGGUAACAUCAAAUCGUACCCCAAACCGACACAGGUGGUCAGGUAGAGAAUACCAAGGCGCUUGAGAGAACUCGGGUGAAGGAACUAGGCAAAAUGGUGCCGUAACUUCGGGAGAAGGCACGCUGAUAUGUAGGUGAAGUCCCUCGCGGAUGGAGCUGAAAUCAGUCGAAGAUACCAGCUGGCUGCAACUGUUUAUUAAAAACACAGCACUGUGCAAACACGAAAGUGGACGUAUACGGUGUGACGCCUGCCCGGUGCCGGAAGGUUAAUUGAUGGGGUCAGCGCAAGCGAAGCUCUUGAUCGAAGCCCCGGUAAACGGCGGCCGUAACUAUAACGGUCCUAAGGUAGCGAAAUUCCUUGUCGGGUAAGUUCCGACCUGCACGAAUGGCGUAAUGAUGGCCAGGCUGUCUCCACCCGAGACUCAGUGAAAUUGAACUCGCUGUGAAGAUGCAGUGUACCCGCGGCAAGACGGAAAGACCCCGUGAACCUUUACUAUAGCUUGACACUGAACAUUGAGCCUUGAUGUGUAGGAUAGGUGGGAGGCUUGGAAGUGUGGACGCCAGUCUGCAUGGAGCCGACCUUGAAAUACCACCCUUUAAUGUUUGAUGUUCUAACGUUGACCCGUAAUCCGGGUUGCGGACAGUGUCUGGUGGGUAGUUUGACUGGGGCGGUCUCCUCCUAAAGAGUAACGGAGGAGCACGAAGGUUGGCUAAUCCUGGUCGGACAUCAGGAGGUUAGUGCAAUGGCAUAAGCCAGCUUGACUGCGAGCGUGACGGCGCGAGCAGGUGCGAAAGCAGGUCAUAGUGAUCCGGUGGUUCUGAAUGGAAGGGCCAUCGCUCAACGGAUAAAAGGUACUCCGGGGAUAACAGGCUGAUACCGCCCAAGAGUUCAUAUCGACGGCGGUGUUUGGCACCUCGAUGUCGGCUCAUCACAUCCUGGGGCUGAAGUAGGUCCCAAGGGUAUGGCUGUUCGCCAUUUAAAGUGGUACGCGAGCUGGGUUUAGAACGUCGUGAGACAGUUCGGUCCCUAUCUGCCGUGGGCGCUGGAGAACUGAGGGGGGCUGCUCCUAGUACGAGAGGACCGGAGUGGACGCAUCACUGGUGUUCGGGUUGUCAUGCCAAUGGCACUGCCCGGUAGCUAAAUGCGGAAGAGAUAAGUGCUGAAAGCAUCUAAGCACGAAACUUGCCCCGAGAUGAGUUCUCCCUGACUCCUUGA
rnacentral:rRNA from 1 species